rnacentral:rRNA from 1 species
GAAAGCAGGGGAUCGCAAGACCUUGCGCUUUUGGAGCGGCCGAUGUCUGAUUAGCUAGUUGGUGAGGUAAAGGCUUACCAAGGCUUCGAUCAGUAGCUGGUCUGAGAGGACGACCAGCCACACUGGGACUGAGACACGGCCCAGACUCCUACGGGAGGCAGCAGUGGGGAAUUUUGGACAAUGGGGGCAACCCUGAUCCAGCCAUGCCGCGUGAGUGAAGAAGGCCUUCGGGUUGUAAAGCUCUUUCAGCCGGAACGAAAAGGUUACGGUUAAUACCCGUGACUAAUGACGGUACCGGAAGAAGAAGCACCGGCUAACUACGUGCCAGCAGCCGCGGUAAUACGUAGGGUGCGAGCGUUAAUCGGAAUUACUGGGCGUAAAGCGUGCGCAGGCGGUUUUGUAAGUCAGAUGUGAAAUCCCCGGGCUUAACCUGGGAACUGCGUUUGAAACUACAAAGCU